rnacentral:tRNA from 2 species
UCCUCGGUAGCUCAAUGGUAGAGCAUUCGGCUGUUAACCGAAGGGUUGUAGGUUCAAGUCCUACCCGAGGAGCCA